UACGUAGGUGGCAAGCGUUGUCCGGAAUUAUUGGGCGUAAAGCGCGCGCAGGCGGUUUCUUAAGUCUGAUGUGAAAGCCCACGGCUCAACCGUGGAGGGUCAUUGGAAACUGGGGAACUUGAGUGCAGAAGAGAAGAGCGGAAUUCCACGUGUAGCGGUGAAAUGCGUAGAGAUGUGGAGGAACACCGACGGCGCAGGCAGCGUCCUGGCCGCUUGCUGACACUGAGGCACGAAAGCUGGGGGAGCAAACAGG
rnacentral:rRNA from 1 species